GUUCAGGGAGGAGGUAUCUGGUUGCGAUCUUCCACACAUGAGUAUCAACUGGAAUAGCAUGGUGCUGAUCUAGAGAGAAGAGAGCAAUACAUGCUGCGACCUUAGGACCAACACCAGGUAGAGAGCACAGCGAAACAAUGGCCUCAGGAAGAUCUACUUUGCGAAGUGCAGCAAGCCACUCCAUACCUCCACCAGGCUUUGAUUUCAGUGCUUCCACAGUACCUACUAUAUAUUUAGCCCUGUAACCAAAACCAGCAGCUCUUAGC
rnacentral:misc_RNA from 1 species